rnacentral:rRNA from 1 species
UACGGGGGGUGCGAGCGUUGUCCGGAUUCACUGGGCGUAAAGGGCGCGUAGGCGGCUGACUCAGUCUGGUCUAUAAGGUGUGGGCUUACCCCGCACACGGAUUGGGGACGGGUUGGCUGGGGGUCGGUCGAGGGAAGCGGAAUGCCGGGUGUAGUGGUGAAAUGCGUAGAGAUCCGGCGGAACACCGGUGGUGAAGGCGGCUUCCUUGGCCGAACCCGACGCUGAGGCGCGAGAGCGCGGGGAGCGAACCGGAUUAGAUACCCGGGUAGUCCGCGCCGUAAACGGUGGGCACUGGGUGUGGGGGGUAUCGACCCCCUCCGCGCCGGCGCGAACGCAGUAAGUGCCCCGCCUGGGGAGUACGGCCGCAAGGCUAAA